rnacentral:lncRNA from 1 species
GAUGGAUCAUUGGUUUAUUUGUAUGUCAUGUAUGUUUCUGGCAUUGAAGAUAAAUUCAUGUCAAACCAUGUGUAUUUCACCAACAGAAGCACUGAUCAGGCUUCGACCAAAGACCUUCCUUACCCAUCUACAUCCAGACAAUACUUUCUUUGAGGAUAAUGAGAAGGGCAAAACAACCUGCAAGAAUUCUGGGGCUGAAGAUAUAAUAGAGUAUAAUAGUAAUCUAUAGUAGAGUUAUAUUAUGAUAUAGUAUUCCUUUUGGAAUAUCCUCCAAAUGAAAAGGACAACUAGAUACUGGAGUUGUCAUGGCAAUAUGUGGUGAAGUUACCUGUGAGGUCAUACAUAGGAUGGACAGCCAAACUCAACAUUGUCAUAUUGAUCAGCUUACACAAUGCUAAGCAAAGCUGAAUGAAACACAGAGGGAUCUAAGUGAUCUACUAAAGAAUCACCACCAUUCUCAGAUAAGAAUCAGGUUCCAGAAUCAGAUCUCAGACCAAUGGAAGGAGAUUCAAGUAAGAUCAAUAGUUGUACCUCUCCAAAUUCUCCAUAUCCAGUUAGGAUCUGAAGACCACUAUCAUAUGUAAAGACUGUUUAAGUUUCAAAUAAGAGGGAUGAAUGUAAUAUAAUAAACUGAUGCCACCUAUAGAGGGAUAUACAUAUAGCAGUUCAAGAGAAACCAGCACUGCCACUAGGGGAAGCUCCAUUUCAGUAGCUUAUAUGGUGAUAUAUAUGUAGCUGAUUUUUUUAUAAGUGUCCAACUCUAUUGAUCUCAUUGUUUUGUGCUAAUAAAUGAAUUGUAACUAAUUUCCAAUUAUUCUUCUGCCUCC